rnacentral:rRNA from 1 species
UACAGAGGGUGCAAGCGUUAUUCGGAAUUACUGGGCGUAAAGCGCACGUAGGUGGCUUGAUAAGUCUGGUGUGAAAUCCCCGGGCUUAACCUGGGAAUUGCAUUCAAGACUGUCUUGCUAGAGUGUGGAAGAGGGAAGCGGAAUUCCAGGUGUAGCGGUGAAAUGCGUAGAUAUUGGGAGGAACACCAGUGGCGAAGGCGGCUACCUGGACCGGUUCUGACGCUGAUGCGCGAAAGCGUGGGUAGCAAACAGG